AUCUUCCGUAGGUGAACCUGCGGAAGGAUCAUUG
rnacentral:rRNA from 1 species